GUCUAUGGCCAUACUACCUUGAACAAGCCUGAUCCCGUCUGAUCUCGGAAGCUAAGCAGGGUUGGGCCUGGUUAGUACUUGGAUGGGAGACCACCUAGGAAGACCAGGUGCUUGCU
rnacentral:rRNA from 1 species